AUGACGUAGUAUCGAUCAUUCUUUGUUGAGGUGAUUACGCGGGAAUCUUUUUCAUUUAUUUAAUUCCAAAAUAAGUAAUAACACAGAAAAUCCAUCCCAAAUCCCUCUGGUCUAGAUAAUUCCCUAGUCCGGCGAUGUCCUCCUUCAUUCUGAAUGAUGGCUUUAAUAUGGGGACGAACAGAAGCCCAACUUGCCUUAAUGAAGUCCUUGAACAUGUUUUUCCACUCAUCGUAAUCACGGCCUUCAGGGCAUCCCUAAAUCAAGGAGAUUGUCAGAUUAGUCGACAGCAUCCGGUUUAAAUGACUUUUGAAACUUUCUUUUAAUUUAAAAAAAAAAUUAAGAACAUCGUUUCGUUAAUAUUAUUCGUCUCAAUCAUGUUAAAUACAUGAGUGAAUAAUAUAAUUAUGAAACUUUACUUAUGUAUUGCUAUCACUUAGACUAAGAGGACGAAGGACUGGAACCGAUUAAAAGUAUUGGUAUAUUGGCAACACUAGUUGGAUAUAUAUAUGUAUUUUUUGUUGUUGACAAGAAUGUACUCAAAACCUAAUCUAAAUCUACUAUUUAAAUGUGAAUGUGUGUGUGUGUGUGUUUGUACCUCAAUAAAGAAAAAAAUAAUG
rnacentral:lncRNA from 1 species